UUCGGAUCGCAGGCUGCAACUCGCCUGCGUCAAGUUGGAAUUGCUAGUAAUCGCGGAUCAGCAUGCCGCGGUGAAUACGUUCCCGGGCCUUGUACACACCGCCCGUCAAACCAUGAGAGUUGGCAACACCCGAAGUCGGCAGUCUAACCGCAAGGAGGACGCCGCCGAAGGUGGGGUCGAUGAUUAGGGUUAAGUCGUAACAAGGUAAC
rnacentral:rRNA from 1 species